GAUGUGCACCUGUGCGCACAUUCUCAGGAAGCUCCCAUGUUGCCAGGGAUCACAACAACAGUGGAACAAAACAUAGCAGUGGUCUAGAAUCAACUCAGCACAGCUAGAAGUGUCAACACGACUUGAGCAUUGGAAGAUGUUGCGAUUGCUGUUUCUGUGUCUGAUUGUGACUCUGCGAGGAGCUGCUGCUUCCUCAGAGGAGAGUGAAGGAUCAGCAGACGUAGCAGAUGGGGACGAUGAAGAUCUAUUCACG